rnacentral:rRNA from 1 species
GACAGAGGGUCAACAGUUGUUCGGAAUUACUGGGCGUAAAGCGAGUGUAGGCGUCUGAAAAGUCGGGUGUGAAAUCCCACGGCUCAACCGUGGAACUGCUGGGUAUACUGGCGGAUCUUGGAGCCACCUAGGGGCGAGCGGAACAAGCGGUGGAGCGGUGAAAUGCGUAGAUAUCGCUUGGAACGCCAAUGGUGAAAACAGCUCGCUGGGGGUGUGCUGACGCUGAGGCACGAAAGCCAGGGGAGCAAACGGG